rnacentral:piRNA from 1 species
GGGCUUUGUGUUAGGGUUGGGAA